ACUACAUGUACAGGAUAGGUGGGAGGCUUUGAAACCAGGACGCCAGUUUUGGCGGAGCCAUCCUUGGGAUACCACCCUUGUAGUACUGGGACUCUAACCAUAGGCCAUGAAUCUGGUCUUGGGACACUGUCAGGUGGGCAGUUUGACUGGGGCGGUCGCCUCCCCAAAGGUAACGGAGGCGCUCAAAGGUUCUCUCAGUACGGUCGGAAAUCGUACGGAGGGUGUAAAGGCAAAAGAGAGCUUGAUUGCAAGACAUACAGGUCGAGCAAGGAUGAAAAUCGGACUUAGUGAUCCGGUGGUUCUGCGUGGAAGGGCCAUCGCUCAACGGAUAAAAGCUACCCUGGGGAUAACAGGCUUAUCUCCCCCAAGAGUCCACAUCGACGGGGCGGUUUGGCACCUCGAUGUCGGCUCAUCACAUCCUGGGGCUGUAGUAGGUCCCAAGGGUUGGGCUGUUCGCCCAUUAAAGUGGUACGCGAGCUGGGUUCAGAACGUCGUGAGACAGUUCGGUCCCUAUCCG
rnacentral:rRNA from 1 species